ACAAAAAAAAUAUUUACAAAGUAACUAGAUAAAUUGGCUGAAAAAUUAGUAGAGGAGUAUGUGGUGAGUUACUGUCAUUGGUUUACACCGGGGGUUCGAGUGAGAUAGAUAGAGAUAUAUAUAUAUAUAUCGAUAGAAAUAUAUAUAUAUAUAUAUCGAUAGAAAUAUAUAGAGAGAGAUAUAGAUAGGUAGAGAUAGAUAUAGAGAUCGAGAGAUAUAUAUCGAUAGAUAGAGAUAGAUAGAUAGAUAUAUAUCGAUAGAUAGAGAUAGAUAGAUAUAGAGAUAUAUAUCGAUAGAUAGCGAUAGAUAGAUAUAGAGAUAUAUAUCGAUAGAUAGAUAUAGAGAUAUAUAGAGAUAGAUAUAGAGAUAGAUAUAAACAGAUAAACAUAUAGAAAGAUAUAGAUAGGUAGAGAUAGGUAGAUAUCGAUAGAUAUAUAUCAAUAGAUAUAGAGAGAGAUAUAUAGAGAGAUAUAUAUAGAGAGAUAUAUAGAGAGAUAGAUAUAUAUAUAUAUAUAGAGAUAGAUAUAGACAUAUAGAGAGAUAUAGAUAGGUAGAGAUAGAGAGGUAGAGAUAGAUAUCAAUAGAUACAUGUGGCAUAGUUAUCUAAACCAUUCAUUAAUUGACCACGGUAAAGGCCUAUUGAUAGAACAAGGGGUAACUGUUUACACAGAGUCAAAACAUCUUCAAAACACCGUCUGCCUCGGGCAAAUCAUGGUCAUCGAAAGUCACACAUUAAACUCAAUGUCUUAUAAAGUCAACAAGGCCUUUAUAUACAAAUACAAUUACAAUAUUUCAAGAAGUUUGAAAAAAAAAAAUCUCAAUUUUUUUUUUUUAAAUCUCAUAACAUACAGUAUUCAAUAAUUACAAUAUAAUGUUGAGUUACUGUCAUUGGUUUACACCGUAUCCAGGGGUUCGCGUGAGAUAGAGAUAUAUAGAGAUAGAUGACAUACAGUAUUCAAUAAUUACAAUAUAAUGUUGAAUGCUGUCCAGGAUUUAAUGUUUACA